rnacentral:tRNA from 1 species
CCCGCGGUAGCUCAAUGGUAGAGCGUCCGGCUGUAGACCGGAAGGUUGUGUGUUCAACUCACACCCGCGGGA